UAUGUUAAAUUGGAAAAGACCUAACCUCUAGAAUCAACUCAUUCGAAAUUUCAUGACAAAAAUUGAUUUUUUAUUUCUUUAAAUACCUAACCUUACGGGUUAUUUGAGAAGAUGAAAAUUUCACUGAAAUUUCAGCGCGCGCGCGCGCACACACGCAUAUAUAUAUAUAUAUAUAUCAGAUACAGAAAUCACAGAAGUUUUGGAAGUCUGAGUUGAGGAGUUCAGAACUCAAGAUCGUGGUCUUUACUCUGGAUUGCGCUCUCCUCACCGUUCAAUUUCAUGACCGACGACCACCACCAUCAACACCGCCCUCACCGCCUCUCAGUCCCUCCACGCGCCACCUCCGGUAUUGGUGUCUAUUCUAUGUGCACCGAGAAGAUGAUAGAUAAGAUAGUAGAUGAUGUAACUACAUCUCCCGGAUCUCCUCAUUUGAUUUCCGAAGGCUUCAAUUAUAUUCAUUCAACCGGAUCAGGAACAUCGGUUAUUUGUUUUUUUUGGAACAUAGUCAUUUGGGUUGUUGAAGAAGGAACAUUUUGUUUUCCAGUUGAAGAUACCGCGUCCAUAAGUAGAUGAGACCAUGUCAAUAAACAGGGGAAAUUGCUGUAAAAAGAAUAAGGUUAGUGGGAAACUAGCAAGCAAAGUGACUGGAGCUGCCACCCAUCUUAUUCAUCUGGCAAGCACAAUAACAAGAGUGGCACCAAAAGCUACCAUUAUGGUGGCAAUAGAUAAGAAAAGCAUCGCGAGACCAAUUAUUAGUCCGGAGGGUAAUGACUUGAGGAAAUCUUCUUUGGUACAGCGUGAAGUGAGAAUGCGUAGAAACAUUAACAAAGAAGUAAUUGAAGAGAAGAUGAUAGAUGAUGUAACUACGUCUCCUGGAUCCCCUCUUUCCAUUUCCGAAGGCUUCAAAUAUAUUUAUUCAUCGGUUACUAGGACAAUAAAAUUGCCUAUGAAGAUAGAAAACGAGAAGGCCUAUGAACUACUCCGCUAUAUGUGUUCCCCAAUAUGGACUGUUGAUUCAAAACAUGUUGGAGCAUACUUUGAGGAGAUAAAAAGAGCCAUCAAAUGUGGGAAUGUUGAAUUUGUUGAAUAAUCCUGCUUUGAUAUGGGGCAUAAGGGAAGCGGAACAAUAUUUCACAUCGCACGUACUUCCCGUCGGGAGAAAAUACUGAACAAAGAAACUAAAUUACUUGGAUUCUAGUUGAAUCGAACAACAUGCUACAUAUAGCUGCAUGCCCACUAGUAAUGGACGAUCAGUACAUAGGAGAAGAAGCUUCAAAAUAGGCUGAAAGGAGAUCAACAGUUCCAGAAGGUAUUCAGUAAAUGCUCGAGACGCAGCUAUGAAAGUGCAGAGAGAACUACAAUGGUACAUGGCAGAGAGGAUGGUACCAUCUUCAUACAAACUUCUUGCUAACAAGAAUGGAAAAACUCCUUCAAAUUUGUUCUCAAACUAUCACUAUGAAUUGAUCAAAGAAGGAGAACGAUGGAUGAGAGAUAUAGCAAGAUCAUUUACAAUCGUGGCUGCUCUUAUUGUCACUGUUAUGUUUGCAGCAGCCUUCACAUUACCAGGUGGCACUGAUGAUCAUUCGGGGAACCCCUUAUUCCUAAAGCAAAACUCAUUUAUGGUUUUCAUUAUAUCCGAUGCAUUCUCUCUAUUCUCUUCAGUUAUUUCAUUGUUAAUGUUCGUAAGCAUUCUCACUUCACGCUUUACCAAAGAAGAUUUCCUCAAGUCAUUACCCACCAGACUGAUAAUUUGUCUUGCAAUUCCCUUUUCUUAUCUAUUGCCACCAUGAUGGUAGCCUUUUGGUGCCACUCUUGUUAUUGUGCUGGCCGAACUGAUUAGAUGGGUUGCUGCUCCAGUCACUUUGCUUGCUAGUUUCCCAACCUUAUUCGUUUUACUGCAAUUUCCCCUGUUUAUUGACAUGGUCUCAUCUACUUAUGGACGCGGUAUCUUCAACCGGAAAACAAAAUAUUCCUUCUUCAACAACCCGAAUGACUAUGCUCCUGAGCCUCCAAAUCACAAUGAGGUGCACAUGGAUUUAGCUUGCAAAGGAGGUUUAUUGGGAGAUGAAGAUUUUCCGGAUUUUUCACAUUUUGGUUUUAUUAUUGUUUCUUAGCAAACAAUUUAUAAUAAGAUUCAUUUUAUUGGUGGAGUUUUAAUUAGUUGGGGAUGUAAUAAGUUUCCUUUGGAUUGAUGGAUUUUUUUUAUAAAUAAAAUGUAUUCUUACUAAUUU